CUUCUGUACUAAUUGGAACGCGCAAAUGUGUUAUUUGUUUUGAUAAGCAUGGUCUUACCACUUACCAGUGAAAUCUAAAAAAUAGAAAUUAUUUGACAUAUCGUAAUCCAAACGUAAACAUGUUAGAGUUUGUAAUUUAUAUAGGCUUUCUGAUUUUAAAUAUUUAUUCAUUAUUCAUUUGUUUAAUAACUCAUCAAAAGUUUUUAUAGACAUCCUGAAUAAACUUCAAAAAUUCUUCAAGGUAAGCUCUCAGUAUCAUAAAAUUCACUUGAAACUGACCAUUAAUUCUUUUUUGUGUUCAUCGGAAGUACCCAAUAACACCUUUUGGAUCUUUCCCUUUUUUCAGCACUAUUAUGUUUAUUUGGUACAUAUGCUACCGCUAUGGCUUCGACGUCGUUUAAAAAGUCCAUAAUAUAUACAAAUGAUUUAUGUUAAACUUGAAAAACGAAAUUCAAAGGUCUUACCUCAACCAUGUUUUUAGCACAACUCAACAACUGAUUAUUAAUUACUCCAACUUGCUACAAUAUUCACUUUAUUUUAUGUGAAAUUUGACUAUUCUUAAAUAUGGCGCGAAGAAAAACCGCUUACGCGUGUAAUCAAAACGGUGGUCGCUGUUUUAAACCACCGCUGAUAAAAAUUAAAAACCGUGACCAAACCUCUCCGUGUGAACCAGCUGUAUACUAGUAUGAAUCUAUGGGGGAAAAAAACAAUUUUCUACGAUUCACUGCAGAGACCGGAGGCCCCCAGAAAUUGAGAACCUUACGCAAGUGCAGAUGGAACACUUGCACUUGGCAUCACGGCUUGCCUACAGAUGAUGGCUCCAGCACUACCGAUGAUGACUAUUUACUAAACACUAUAGAUGACGAUUCGGAUUGGAUAUAAUUUAAUGCAAAAAUGUUGGAAUAUACAAUCCGAAAAACGUCCAAAUUUAAAUACUGUAUAAAAGUUUUGAAAUCAUAUAUUGUAUAACCAUUGUAGCCAUACAUAUCAUAUGCUAUGAUAAUUUCUAAUUUUUAAUUGUUUAUUAUUUGUAUUUUUUACUAUUUUUUUUUUACCAUAGGUACCUAUUUUUAUAUUUUGUUUUUUAAAUAAAUGUAAUGUAUUUAAUAUUA